UGCCUGCCGGCGACCGGCGCACGGGUGAGUAACACGUAUGUAACCUGCCCUAUGCAGGGGGAGUAACCCGGAGAAAUCCGGCCUAAUACCGCGUAACACCUUUUGGGAGCAUUCCCGGGAGGGUUAAAGGAGAGAUCCGGCAUAGGAUGGACAUGCGUCGCAUUAGGUAGACGGCGGGGUAACGGCCCACCGUGCCGACGAUGCGUAGGGGUUCUGAGAGGAAGGCCCCCCACACUGGUACUGAGACACGGACCAGACUCCUACGGAAGGCAGCAG
rnacentral:rRNA from 1 species